rnacentral:rRNA from 1 species
AGUGAACGCUGGCGGUAGGCCUAACACAUGCAAGUCGAACGGCAGCACAGUAAGAGCUUGCUCUUACGGGUGGCGAGUGGCGGACGGGUGAGGAAUACAUCGGAAUCUACUUUUUCGUGGGGGAUAACGUAGGGAAACUUACGCUAAUACCUCAUACGACCUACGGGUGAAAGCAGGGGAUCUUCGGACCUUGCGCGAUUGAAUGAGCCGAUGUCGGAUUAGCUAGUUGGCGGGGUAAAGGCCCACCAAGGCGACGAUCCGUAGCUGGUCUGAGAGGAUGAUCAGCCACACUGGAACUGAGACACGGUCCAGACUCCUACGGGAGGCAGCAGUGGGGAAUAUUGGACAAUGGGCGCAAGCCUGGUCCAGCCAUACCGCGUGGGUGAAGAAGGCCUUCGGGUUGUAAAGCCCUUUUGUUGGGAAAGAAAAGCAGCAGGUUAAUACCCCGCUGUUCUGACGGUACCCAAAGAAUAAGCACCGGCUAACUUCGUG